CGGGCCCUGGGCGAGCGGGCUCGGGCUCCCUCUGCCCUGGUUUGCUGUCCUGAGUGUCAGCAACAGUGAGGUGGUGGGGCCUGUGGUGCCUGUUGGUUUGUUCCUGUUUUGCCUUCCUUGCCUCACCCUCACCCCCACCUCUCCUGCUCCUUUAUCUGAUGUUGCAUGGUUCAUUGCCGGCUUCAAGGCUGGGAGUACCUCCGUGGCCCAGUCCUGCGCUGUGUGUGCGGUCACAGGACGCCUUGUGCCUCUUCCCUUGGGCAGUCCACAGGGCCUGGGUGUCCUGUCCUGAUUGAAUGAGGCCCUGGGCUGCUGCUCCCCAAUUGUCUCCCUGUGCUGCAGACAGGCCCAGGUCCCUGCUGGCCCUGCAUGGACCUCCCUCCUGGGGCUGAGUGGCUGGCCCAGGGCCAUGGCCACAGCUGGGUAGAGCCCGGGGGAAAGAGUUCUUCACGACCCCUGCUGAGUCAGCUGUGUCCCCGUGCUUGCCACUCUUGGUUGAGGCCCCAUUUCUCUGCCCUUUGUUCUGUCCCAGAGCUUUCUGAAGAGUUAACUCAAGAGUCAUUUCAGGCCUGCCCUGUCUGCUAAAGGAAUGGGUGCUGCGAGGCCCUCCCUCCUGGUGGCUCCCUUUAGCACCCAGCCUGGUGUACUUGCCCUGGUCUCCCCAUGGCUUUUCUUUCCACAUCCCUUCUGGCUGGCUGCCGCCUCUUGUCCUCUGAAUCCAAUUCCCCUAGGCUCUCGUUUAAAACAGGCCACUACCCUUUUAACAAAACCAGCUUUGGAGUAGCAAGGCAUCUUCCUUACCUUCUUCACCAUGUCUCCCGUGGGCUGAAGCAGGUUCCAGUGCAGAGACGUGUCCAACAUGUGUCUGUCCAGCUGUAUCCCCAGGGCUAUUUGUCAUCAGAGGCUGCUAGGUUUUCUCAGACUGGAAUUGGCAGAGACCCCUUCCUUCCCUGGGGACAUUUGUAUUGCUGAGCCUGGCUGACAUUAUCCCAGGACAGAGCCAUGCACGCUGUCCUGGCCUUCUGAGCUGGCCCGUGGCAGGAAGGCACCUGGACAGUUGUCACCUCACUCAGCCAGUCAUCUGCCUUCUAGUCUCCAGGAUUCCCUCUCUUUGGGUUGGGGAGAUAACUCAGUGUCACAAGCACCUGCCUGGCAAGUUUGAUUCCCGGUACCAGAAGGAAAAGGAUUCCCUGUCUGGUUGCUUGGCUCAGUUGUGGGACCUUCUGUCCCCAGAUUGUGUGGGGGGUUGGGGGUGGGAGGAUGUUCACCUUGACCUGAUCUGUUGAACCAUGAGCCACAGACUUGUGUGUGUCCUCGGGAAGCCAUUUAUGUCAUCCAGAGCAAGGCGUGGUCCUAAGGUGGAAUAGAUGAGGUGUGUCUAGUGCGAACCUUAGCAAAUACUGUGAUAGAUUGGAACCUCUGUCCCUGUGCAUCCUGUUACGAUCCUUGUAACGGUCACCACCUCAGUUUUAUUAGAGUUCCUGAUGGGAGGCUUGGAGUGAGCCCAGGCUGCCGAGUCUCCACCGGGGGUCUGGCACGAGAGCAGAGCGGCAGCUCUCGAGUCUCAGUUCCACGUCCUCUCUUCCCUGGCUCUGAACAGACACCUUAGAAGCACAAGGCUCGGAUUGCAUGGUACUGCACGCAAGAUAAAUCACAGGUCUGGCUGGGCCAUAGCUGCCCCGAGAUAGUCAGGCCUGCCCUGCCCUUUCUGCCAUUGGUUAACACUGGCCGACAGCUUUUCUGUCCCCGUAACUCUGGGCUGCUCUCCUGUGUCUAACCCUCACCAAGAGCUGGCAGUACCAGCUGUGGUUCCAUGCCCUACUCUGUUCCGUCCCCCAGCUGUGCUUGCAUUCUGGUCUACAGCAUGAAAGUUGUAACCAGAAGUCCUGCCUCACCCCUGCUUGUGACCAGUGACUGACUGCCUUUACUGAGACACAGGCCCCCUUGCUCUACUCCUGAGACUCCGUGUGGCUAAUUCUAGGUCAAAUCUGACAUAGUUACCUGUGUGAAUAACUUGCUGUCUUGUGCCUCUUUAAUUGUGAUCACAAUCAAUGCCUUGCUAAACAUGGCUGCCGAGGGCCCCUCCAGGCUUUGUAUGACCCCAGCUUUCCAGGCCAUGACUGGGGGGUGGAGAGGCCUUGGCUCCCCCUACCUGCAGCCGUGCAGCACCUGGACAGCCAUGUGGCGGGGCAGGGCCUGCUCCAUCCCUCCAGCUGUGUCACAGGCAGUGUGGUCAAGUCCUCUACCAGGGCAUGACGUGGGCCUGUCCUGGCAUGCCGAGAUACUGUCUUCCACCCUCUGAUCCAAUCAGAAAAAAAAAGUUUUUUCAGUCAUCCCAGCUACUUGGGAGGCAGAGGCAGGAGGAUUACAAGUUUCAGAACAGCCUGGACAACUGACAAGACAGUGUCU